rnacentral:rRNA from 1 species
CGGGAAACCGGAGCUAAUACCGGAUAACACCGAAGACCGCAUGGUCUUUGGUUGAAAGGCGGCCUUUGGCUGUCACUUGCGGAUGGGCCCGCGGCGCAUUAGCUAGUUGGUGAGGUAACGGCUCACCAAGGCGACGAUGCGUAGCCGGCCUGAGAGGGUGACCGGCCACACUGGGACUGAGACACGGCCCAGACUCCUACGGGAGGCAGCAGUAGGGAAUCUUCCGCAAUGGGCGAAAGCCUGACGGAGCGACGCCGCGUGAGCGAAGAAGGCCUUCGGGUCGUAAAGCUCUGUUGUGAGGGACGAAGGAGCGCCGUUUGAACAAGGCGGCGCGGUGACGGUACCUCACGAGAAAGCCCCGGCUAACUACGUGCCAGCAGCCGCGGUAAUACGUAGGGGGCGAGCGUUGUCCGGAAUUAUUGGGCGUAAAGCGCGCGCAGGCGGCUCCUUAAGUCUGAUGUGAAAGCCCACGGCUCAACCGUGGAGGGUCAUUGGAAACUGGGGAGCUUGAGUGCAGGAGAGGGGAGCGGAAUUCCACGUGUAGCGGUGAAAUGCGUAGAGAUGUGGAGGAACACCAGUGGCGAAGGCGGCUCUCUGGCCUGUAACUGACGCUGAGGCGCGAAAGCGUGGGGAGCAAACAGGAUUAGAUACCC